CCAGCAGUAACUUAAAGAACAGAAAUGAGGUGACAUGUUAACAAUUCAAAGAUUUAGAAGGCAGUUAAAACAGAAAAAUUCACCACUACAUUGUGAAACGGGCUAAUAAUAUUUCAGAACCAGUAAAGUGAACAAGACAUAGAAUAACGGAAAUAUUUGUCAAAAUAAAAGGAGAGACUAUAUUCCAAUAGCACGAAUGAAACAGAAGAUGGAACCUUCCAAUAUAAGAAUAAAUAAACCUUCCUAUUACAAUCUUCAUGAAAUGUAGCAGUCUAUAAACGUAUAUGAGAAGAGUAAAAAUAGCGUACAGGUGUUCAUAUUUAUAUGAAAGGAAAGAGUAAAAUAUAUAGCGAUCAAAAGCAUCAAUGCAGGUAUAUGAGAGAAAUGUUAAAGACAGGAGCAAAUUGGCAGAAGCUCAGUCUGCUUAUUUCUACUCCAAAGAGAUGGGGAAGUUAAUGAUUAAUGGUUCCAUUUUUUAAGAGCGCUGAUCAUUGUCUAAUUACUACAAGAUCUAAGAUAUGCUUGCUGCAAAGAAAAAAGUACUAGAAAUAGGUAUCAAAUGCUUUUUCAAGGACAAACAGUCAUUUAUUUUUAAGCCCUGACCUGUGUCAAACAAGAACUAUGUGACAUAUUUCAAAAUCAAGAAAAUGAAUUUACAGAAUUCUAUUACAUUGCUAUCCAAUUAGUAUUGCGUCCAACGCAUAUACAUAUGCGCACUCAAACAAUCACACAUAUACAUCUUCCUUUUCCACUUGCACAAAGGACUCUGCAACAUGGUUAGUAGAUUCAAACAUUUUCCUCCCACAUAACUAUCCAGACCUCAUGGAUAUCCAAGUACAACAACCUAAUCAAAAGAAACAGAUCAAAGACAAAGACAUGGAUACGUCCUUAUUUCCUGACAACCUAAACAGUCUUGGAAAAAAUGCUUGCUAAGAGCAUCUCAAAUAAUUUUCUUUCUUUAGAAUCACCCAAAUAAUCCCCAUAUAUUUUCAAAAAAUCUGCUGUGUGACUGUUCAACAGUGAACCCAUCUCCAAACACACUUACUUUUAACUAGGAAUAGUCUUCACUAUUGGAGUUACUGAAAAGGAACAUCUACAGAGCAUUUCUCCAGGCCCCAUUGAUGGGAUCCACAAAACAACGCCUAGAUCUUAUCUAAUACUCCCACUUCUGGAGGGAUCCAUAUAUCCACACAAGUAAUGUGAACAUUCAUAACUCAGAUUAUCCAAAAGGAAGAAAAAAGAGAAAAAUCGAUUAUGUUUUCAAGAUAAAAAAAAAAAUCGAUCCAUUACUGAUCUUUUAUGAUAAAAACAACUUGGUUAACCUUAAAAAAAAUGAGCUGAUUGGAUAAGUCAACUAAACUAAUCCAAAAAAAGAGACCCAAAAAACAAAAAUAUAAAAAAGAGGUAAGCAAUGGUCCUGAUCUAGCAUAAGAAUUUAUACCUUGCCAAAGAAGUUUCCACCUCCAUCAUGAAGCCUAUCAACUUCAUAGAUCGUAGCAUGUAAAGUCCCAUGGAGCAAAGUUUCCUCCAUUUCUCAACUAAAAGAAAGAGAAAAGAAAGUUAAUUCAACUAAGCCAGAGAGAUAUUAACAUAAGAUAAACUCCAAAAGAAGAGUGGGAAACAGAGAAGAUAAGUUCUUUUUAAAAAAAAAUAAAAGCUUGCGAAGCAGAGAAAUGAGCAAAGAAAAAAGGUAGAUUCAAAAAAAUAUACCCAAGGUUAAAUCAGAAGAGAUCUUGAUCUAAGGAUAUCAAGGCAGAAGUGAGAGUGAGUUGUCCUUGAUUUUCUCUUUUAUGUAAGGGAUUUAUAUACGCAAAAUACGCGUAUCUAGUUUUGUAAUAAUGGAUAUAUAAAUUAUGGCUGCAACGUGGUGGCCGUGGGCAGACUAAAAGGAAAAUUACUGACGGGAAAGAGACCCGGAAAAUCAGCCCCUUAAAUAGAUCCGCGUGGAGCUGAGUGGAUCAGGGACUACGAAAGAUUUUUUUUUAUAGGGACUGAAUUACAUAAAAUCCCGAUUUUUUCAAUUCAAUUUUAACUUUCUCUCGCACAUUUUCAAAUUUCUCUCAAAUUUCUUUUAAUUUCCUGUUAAUUUCUCACUCAAAUUUUAUUUCUCUCUCAAUUUUUUUAUUUAUUAAAAUUAUUUUAAGAUUUUCGUAAAUUAUUUUUCUAUUACAAUUUAUUUCAUGUUUUUAGAAAUUAGCAAUGGCAAAAUUUCUAAUUUGUUUAAAUGGCAAGCAUAUUUUGGCCGAUCAAUUGUAAAUGAUAAUUUUUUUAUUAUAUCUAAUCAAAUUUAACUUAAAUACUUUCUUGUUAUAUUGGAAUUUAAAAUUUUGUAUUUUUUAUUUAUAGCCAGAAGAUCAGAUUUUGGAGACGUAUAUUUGUAAUCUAAGAAAAACCAUUUUUGAAGCUCGAUCUAUUCGAUCCCUAAUUUGUAAGCAUUUUUCAAGCCAUUUUAAUUUUUAUGUUUUUGAGGUCAUGAGAGCUUGAUUUAGCUAUCCCAUGCACCAAUUUGCAAAACUGUUGAAGUUUUUGAUAGCUUCUGUUUUUUAUUUCUUGAAUAAUUUGGUGUUAAUUGAUAUAUUUUAAGCUCAGAUUAUAAAAAAGGACUAAAUUAUAAUGUUUGGUUGUUAGUUAUGUACAAAAGGACUAAGGUGAAUAAAUUGUGAAAUUGAUGUGAAAUUCAGUAAUAAUAGAUAGUAAAGAGUCCCUAAUGGAUGUAAUUGAAAUUGAUUUUAAAAUUGAGGCUAAAAAUUGAAAGAUGUAGUUAUUUCGAUUUUAAUAACUAAAUUGAAUAAAAUGUAAAACUUUGGUGGUAUCAAAAAAUGAAGUUUCAUAGGUUCAUUCAUAUCAUGAUAUAAUGUAUAAAUGUUUAAUAUUAAUGAAUUGAAUGGAAUAAUUGUCUAGAUCGAAAAUUGGAUCAAAUCGGUGAUAAUUAAGGAAAAGUAAAAAUUAUAGAUUAGUCCCGAAGUUUCAACUUGUUUGUUGUUUUUUUCCAAGUAAGUUCAUAUGGUAUUUGUUAAUCUAGAUUGUUGUGUAAUUGGUUUGUAAUUAUAUGUGUUUGGUUGUGAAUUGGUUCAAAAGGUGAUAUUUGGACUAAAUUGAAAAGUAAUGUUAAUUUUUGUAAUAGAUGCCCGUUUGAACUCAAUAAAAGUUAGGAUACGAUUGACAUACCAAUAGGGUAUUGUGCUUACAUGUAACACAGGUUUAGCUCGAACGAGUAACCUAAUGUCGUUUUAAAGGUUUAGCCCGAACGGGUAACCUGACAUGUAUAUAUACUCAGCUUGGACAAGCAAUCGAAAGUUUCGUUAUAAAAGUUUAGCCUAGACGGGUAAUCUGACACGAAUAUAUUCAGCUCAGAUGAGCAACUGGUGUGGUAUAGUUACUUGUGCAUCCAAGUUUGUUUACAAUGGUGCAUCGAACAAUACAAUUCAUAUGAAAUAAGAAAUUGAAAUGAGAUAUAAUGUCCUUGAUGUUCACUUAGAGAAAUGUUGAAUUGAACUUGAGUAUUGUAUUGGAGUAAUGUCAUGAACAUGUAUUUGAUUACAUUAUCCCUUGAUUGAAUGAUAUUGAAAUUUUUGUUGUAUAAAAUGACAUGAAUUGGUAUGAUAGUUUUUAUAUGGUUUGAUUACAUGUUAAAGCUCACCUUACUAAUAUUUUGGUUUACCAUGUUUAGCCAAACUAUGCCAAUUUGGGGUGGCUUAUUGUAUUUAAUUGAAAGAUAAGGUAAGUUUUUGUUUAAUGCCUAUGAACUUACUAAGCAUCUUAGAUGCUUACCCUAUUUGUCCUUCCCUUUUCCUUGUAGAUCGUCACUUUGUGUGUAAAACCCAGUUUUGGCGGGUUCAAGGUUUUGGCGCAUAAUGUAACAGGUCAGUUAUAGCCAAAUCGGAACAGUGGUCUUGGAACCACAAAUUCGAGGUCUUAAAUUUAUUUUAAUAUUAUUUUUUGUAUUUAUAGUAUAUGAUUAUAUGUGUGAAAGUUUCGUGUGAUAAUUUUAUCAUUUAAGUGGUUAAUUUGACUAAAGGACUUAAUCACGUAAAAUACAAAACUUACUUUCUAUAUGUUAAAAGUGCUUAAUUACUAUGUCUUAUUAAAUGUGAAGUCCUUAUGUUGUAAUUAGACCAUGAUUAGUGAAAUUUGACAUAAAUGGCCAACCAUUCAAUGUUUUGUUAAUGUUUUAAUUAAGGGUAAAAUAGUAAUUUGGUUAUUAAGGUUAAUUUAAUUAAAACAAAAGCCAAAAUUAGCUCAUUUUAUUUCUUCUUAACCGAAAUUAAAGAAAGAAGAAACCAUUUUUCAUGUUUUUGGGGUUCGGCCAUUGAUAAGCUUAAUUGAGGUAUGUAUUUUGCUCGGUUUUUUAUGAUUUCUAUGUUUUUGUUAUUGUUGCUUUGAGUACUAGCUAGCUUGUACCCUAAUUUAUGAAUUUUUUGAUGAAUUUUUGAGUUUCCAUUGAUGAAUGCUUGAGAUUUUGAAUGAUUAUUGAUGAAUUAUGAAAGCUUGAUGAUAGAUAUUGAAGUUUUGUUAAGUGAUUUUUGACAAAAAUGUCAAAUAGGGAUUAAAUUGAGAAAAGUGUAAAUUGAGGGGUUAAAUUGUGAAAUAAAUAAAAUUUUUGGGCAUUUAGGGACUUACAUAAAAUUUGGAUAAGCAUGGACUUUGUUAAAUUUUAAGUAAUUUGGUGUAUUUGUGAAAUAAGGACUAAAUUGUAAGAAAGUGAAAGUUUAGGGCCAAAGCACAAAUUGGUUAAAUUCUGUGUUUGUGGAUGAAAUUGAUUGAGUUGAUGAUUAAGUGGAUUAAUUUUGAAUACAUAUAGAUCCUGAAAGAAAGAAAUCGGAUUUAGAUCGGGGGAAAUCCAAAGUUAUUGAGUAAUCAAUCCAAUUUGUCUAUUCCGAUUAUGAGGUAAGUUCAUAUGGAAAUAAAUGUCUUUAAAUUGCCAUUGAAUUGUUAUAAAUGUUGAAUGAGCACUUACGAGCAAGAAUUGACAGAGUUUUAACAUCCAAAAGUCCCAUACGAACCUUAAGAAUAGUAUAGGAUACAGAUGUCAUGACAUUAGGUUAUCGAGAUGUGGUUACAUGUAAGACCAUGUUUGGGACAUUGGCAUUGUAUUGUGAUUACGUGUAAGACCAUGUCUGGGACAUUGGCAUCGUAUUAUGAUUUUGUGUAAGACCCUAUCUGGGACAAUGGCAUCGAUAUGUGAUAACAUGUAAGACCAUAUUUGGGAUAUGGCAUUGUACGAGAUUAUGUGAUUUCCGAGUAUCCUUAACGAUUCUGAAUGGUUCAACGGGCAAAGACAAGUCGAGAAAGAAUGUGUUAAUGAGUUAAACGACUCAGGUACGUACGAGAUUUAUACGAGUAUUGGAAAGUGAAGUAAUUGAUGAGUUUACAUGAGAAAAUGAAUAUGUAUUUAAUGAAAAAGGUUUGUGUAUCUAUAUAUGUUUACUUGUACUUGGCCCAGUAAUGGAAAUGUUGUGAUUCAUAUGAUAACUUUAUUUGUAUAUGGCUUACUAAGCUUUUAAAGCUUACUUUGUGUGUUCUUUUCAUGUUUUAUAGAUUAUCAAAGCUAGCUCAGACUCGAGGAUUAUCAGGAAUACGUCAUCGCACUAUCGAUUAUCUCGUUGGUAUUUUUGGAAGCUUUGUAUAUAUGGUAUAUGGCAUGUAUAGGCUAGUGUCAUAUUGGUAUGUUUUGAGUUAUGAUUUUAGCCAUGUGAUUUGACUUGUAAAUGUUGGAACAUAGCCAUUUAAGUUGGUUUGAAAUAUGUGUUUAUUAUGUGAUACAUAUAUUGUAUAUAAUGCCUUAUGUAAUAGUUAUUAGUUUGUUUAUGUAAUUAGUUGUUAUAUGGUAAGUUAAUGCUAGAAUGAUGAUAUGUUGGGGCUUGAAUUCCAGAUGAUAGAAUGGUAUAUUUUGAGGUAUGAAAUAGGUGAUAAGUUGAUGGAUAAAUGCAUUUAGAAGUUAUACAUGUUUGGUGAUUUUGGCAUAGUGAAAUGGUAUUUUUUGGUUGUGGAAUUGAUAAGUUAAAAUAGUUCUGAAUUGAUAGCAUGAUAUGAGUAUGAAUUGGCAUAUUUGUGGUUGCUUAAAGAUGUAUUGAAAUGGUGCUAUUUUGGUUGCUAAGUGUGCUUGUGGUUAGGGUGGCAAAUUGGCUUUGUAAAUAACCUAUUUUUGUCCAUACGGGCAGAGACACGGGCAUGUGUCUUAGCCGUGUGCGACGGUCAUGUUACACGGCCGUGUGUCCCCUAGGGUACCCUUCGAAUUAAAUUCAGUAUACCCUACAGUUUUGACACGGCCUAAACACACGGGUGUGUCUACUGGCCGUGUGUGGCACACGGGCUGACACAUGUGCGUAUGGUCGACCAUGUGACCCAAGUCAAGAACCUUCCUUAGAUUCUACAUGGCCUGGCACACGGGUGUGUCCUCGGCCGUGUGGUGCAAGUCAGUAUGUAUGCCCUGUUGUGACACGGGCGUGUCUGGUAGCCGUGUGAGGCACACGGCCUGUUCACACGGGCGUGUGACCCUUUAAUGUUUAAAUUUUUUUUAAGUUUCCUAAAGUUUAUAAUUGUUAUCAGUUUAGUGCCAAACCACUUCUAAGCAUGCUUUAAGGCCUCGUAGAGCCAUAAAAAGGGACAAUGUGAAUUUGUUGGAUGAGUUUUAUAUAUGAAUGCUUAAAUGUAUACGUUAUGUAUGUGAAUGAUGUGUGAUUCGUUCGGUAACGCCUCGUGACCUUAUUCCGGCUUUGGAUACGGGUUAGGGGUGUUACACAUAACAUCAAAUUAGUCUGUGUGGUGAAGUAAUAUCUGCUCAAGUAUCUCUUUUGGUGAACAGGUUGGGUGUAUUUCAAUUAAAGUGGAAGUUAAUAAUGGUGGUGUGUAAGAUUACUAUGUUAGUUGGAAUAGGAUGUCCACCAAGUAAAAAGGUAAUUAUGGAAUCCGUUCACGCCAAAAGUGUAGUACGCCCUAUUUGUCUGAAGCACUGUACAAGUUAAGAUACAAGGUAAUUGAGUUAGGAACCAACUGGAUAGACUAACCAGAUAAUUAAAAUAUUGGACUUUCAUUAAUUCUUUUCUCAAAUGCUGUAAGCCAUUAGUGAAGACAAUUCUAAAAGAAUAAGACACAUGUCAAAUUCCACAAUGGGGAUAGAGGUCUUAUAUAUAUAUUCGUAUGUGAGCUUGAGAAAAAGAGUUCUUCAUUUUCUUCCACUAGAAAUUAUGUUGUUGAUAUUCUUUGAAGUUGAAUAUAGUUCUCUCUCGUUAAGCUAAAAUUGAUAAUCUGAUUUCAAGUAAAAGAUGAUCCCAUUCCUGGUGGUUGUUGCUAUUUGCAUGUCAAAUGUUAGGUCUGGAGGUAGUUGUUGUGUGUGAGUAUCAGGUAAGUUUUUAUGAGGACUCUUGCAUGUAUACUAUUCAUAUUAAGAUAUAUAUUUGUAGCAAAUAGUUUAAACAUGAAGCUAAAACAUGAAAAGUAUAGCAUGAAAAUGUUAUGUUAUGAAUGCAAUUAUAUAGAAUAUGAUAAGUUCAAGCAUGAAAUGAAUGGUGCAUGAGUACUAUGAUGUCAAAGUAUGGUUGUGUAAGUCUAUAUGAAGUAAAGGUUAUGAGGUAUGUACUAGUUUGGGCGUAUGUUAAGGGAUUAAUGUGUUGAGUUCAUAUUGUGUCAUUGCAUAAAUAGUCUAUAAGGUGGGUCUGUGUCUGGUCACUAUGGUAGUAAAUGAUGGAUCCGUCGAGACAAUAAACAUGAAAUCUAAAAGAAAAAAUCCAUGGCCAUGGCAUCCUCUAAAAAGAAAUUAAAGGAUAGUAAUUUUCCUUAGGGUUUUUUGCGUGUCCCGAGCGAUGAUAGGCAAACCUCACGGAAGUGAGUUUAGUGUAAGUCUAGACUUUUGAUAUUUGUAACAAGUUAAGAUUUUAGAUGAAAAUCUACUGUAAUUGAUUUUAGAUGAAAAUCUAUUUGUUGUUGUUUUAUAUUUCUCCAUUGAAGUAUAGUGGUGCUGUACAGAUUUUAAGUCAUGAUGCUAUACAAAUUUUGAGUCAUGAAGCUAUGUUUAAUUUAUCCAAUGAAAGUAGAGAACAUUAGGGUAAGAUGUAUGGGAUAAGCCCGUCGGCUUAAGACGUAAACUUUGCCCUCUCUUUUAUUAGCUCGUGUUUUCUCAUUUGGCAUAAUGAAAUUAUUUUUCUUAAAAAAAUUGCAAAUACUAUUAAACACUAAAAGAGAACUCAAUAUCCAUAAAUAUUAGAAUACCCUAAAGCAAAACAUAUUCUAAAAAAUAAAUGUUAAAUCUAGUUAUUUUAAUAAUUAAUUAAAAUUUCACUAUAUUUAAAUAAAAACCUAAAUUUUAAGUGAAAAUUAAAUAAAUUUUUUAAAAAUAUUGUUAUUUAGUGAGUAAAUUUGAAAAAAGAAAUCUAAUAAUAAUAAUAAUAAUAAUAAUAAUAAUAGGCUAUAGUAUAUUUUUUAAGCGGUUGGGUAGGUUUUUCUAAGAAGACAUUAUUUUUUCUAAAUUAUAUAAACGUUAUAAGUGGCUUUUUUGGUAAAAGAAAACGCAAAAGGCCAAGGCUAAAUUGCCUUGUUUAUUUUAUUGUACACACAACUUUAGUUUUCUUUUUCUUUUUCUUUUUCUUUUUUAAUGCAAUUGCGCACGUUUAAGAAAACAAAUAAAUCUAACUGCUUUAUUUAAUAAAGCUAUCUUAGAGACCCCACAAUAAAUUUUACAAAAUUUCUUUAUAAAAAAUUUAAUUUAUAUAAAUAAAAAAUUGACCACACAAAAAAUUAAAUACAAAUCAAUAGUUUUAUAUAAAACUAAAUUUAAAAAUUUCCACCCACUAAAAUAUAAAAAUUCCUACCCCUUUUAUUGUCUUUAAAUAUUUGUCACUUUUUAGUUAAACUUCUUUUAUGGUUUCUUUCUAGAAUUUUUACAAAAUAUAUGGUCCAUCUUUUAAUCUUUUAAUAUUUUCGAGUGAAUCUCCUUAGGAUAGUGAUGGAUUAAUUUCUAAAAAAUUAAGAUAGUAAUUUUGCUUGUGAUAGAUUAAAGUUUUUCAUGCAAAAUUAAGUUUUUAUUGAUUGGAUUAUUUUGAGAUAUUGAUUUUGUAUGAUAUUCCUAGUAUUUGUUGGAAAAUUUGUAAUUUAUGAGAACUUUGAAGCAUAUUUUUAAUAGGUAAACGUAGAGAAUUGAAUCAUAAAAUUAUAGUUUCAUAUUCUACUCCAUGUGAUCUUUACAACAAUAUAUCAUAUGCUCAAAAUGGUUGAGUGAUGAAUGAGAAAUUGAUGCUCAAAAUAAGCUAGUUAGAAAUAUUUGUUGAGGAAAAGAAAAGCUUAAAUCCCACAUUAGUUAAAAACUAAGUGUGAGAUGUGUAUAUGUAUGAGAACCGACUUAAAGAGUGAUUGAAUGACUAAGAUUAAAACUUUGUCUCGCGCGCAAGGGGUGUAAUUCCAAACUUAUUAGGGUUGCAUGAUGUGGGUGAUGCGAAAUGUUUGAAACGGUUAGGGCCCAAAAUGAAUUUGCGGAUAUUUUAGCCCAACAUGAAAUUUAUUUUUUCCAACAAAUAUAUACAAAAUCUUAUAUAAAAUGACAUAUAUCUUGUUUUUAUUUGAUUCUAAUAAUUUUGAUUUGAUUGCCCCUUUAAUGCAGAUUUUGUCUUGUUAUACAUGAAUAUUUUCAAAAUUCCUCCACUUUGAAUGCGUAUAAAAGGCUAAGGCUUCUUUAGAUUUUUUUGCUCAAUCUCACUCUCACACUGAGAUUAUUUUCUCUCUAAAAUUCUUCUUUUUUCCUCUCCAUAUUUUUCAACGUUUGGUGAUAAAAAAAGGCAUUGUUUGCUCAUUGAUCGCUGUAAAGGUGUUGCUGCUUCGACCAUUGUGUUGUUGUAUCUUGAGAGACAUUCGACUAACAUUUCUUCAAAUAUCGUAGGAGUGACCAAAUUUGUAUGUAAAAUAGGCCUCAACAUCUAGUAAAACUCGUUUCUUCUGUUUUAUUUUUGCUUUUUGUUAUGUUAUUUAUUGGUUUUUUCAUAUCUGAUAAUUUAAAUAUAAAUUAUUCAAUUUAUUUUAUUUUUAUAUAUAUUUGUUUAUUUAUAUUUAUAUAUUUUUGUUCGGUAACGUGUUUUGUCUAAUAGUAUAUUACUUAGGAUUUAAUGUCUUUAUAUUCUUAUAUUCUUGAACAUUGAAUAGAAAUUUAACAUUUUUAUUUAGAAAUAAUUGUUAAUAAUGUGAUUAUUGCAAAUAUUGAAUUUGACAUAUUAUAUUCUCAAUUAGGUGAUAAUAUUUUUUAAAAGAAAUUAUAUUUUAUUCUUAACCACCAACAGCGAAUUGCAAAUUCCUUUCAAUUCAAAGGAUAAAAAUGGUAUGCAUAGAAUAUCAAAUAAUUUUAAAUAUUUUAUAAAUUUAUGGUGAAGUUUUGACUAAAAAAACUAAUUAAAUUAUUUUUUUGUCUUAGUUAUUGAUUAGAAGAUUUAACUUGUAUGAAUUGUUAUUGAUUUAGUACUAAUAAUAUGCUUGAUUUUAUGAAAAUUUCAUGUAUUUAAGAUUUAGAUUUAUUUAGUUACUAUUUUAAUAAUUUUAUAAUAUUUUUAUGUUUACAUAUAUUAUAUAGUGAUUUAUCGAGUGUAAAAAUUAUAUAUUAAUUUAGAUAUUUUAAUUUUUUAAAAUUUGACCCACAACUAAAUUGAUAAAUAUAAUUAUUUGUAUAUGUAAUAAAUAAAUAUAAAACAAUGUUAUAUAAGUGAUUAAGUUAAUGGUAUAUGAACACCAAAACAAAAUAUGAAAAAAAAUUCAUAUAUACAAUUCUACCAAAUAAAAAAAUUUAAAUUAUAUUAGACAUUAAUUUAAAAUUUGUGUAUAAUUUUAUGAUUUAUCUCUAUUAUAUUAUAUUUUUUAAAUUUUGCAAUAGAUUUUGUUUCAAUAUCAUAUUGUUUAAAUAUGAGAUUAAAAACAUGUCAAAUUUUAAUUAUUUAUUUUUAAUUUUUAAAAAUAUUAUUAUUUCACCGAAAAUUAUGUUUAAAUAUUUGAAAGAAAAAACGGCAGGAUUGAUGAGACGACAAGAAUCUCUCUUACCUUAAUUAAUGGUCGAGAGUUCGAUCCUUACAUUAGAUAUAGAACAACUUUAAAAUUUGUGGCCGGCAUUUACCUUUAAUAGGAAAUAAAAAAAUCGAAAGAAAAAUUAAGAAGAUAAUGCUUAUCACAUUAUUUAUGUAAAAAUAAAAAUAAAAAAUUGAAAAGCAAAUACUAAUAUAUGGAAUAACAAUCUUUUUAAAUACUUUCUCAUCUUAUUAAAAAUUCCCAAUGAAUCAAAUAAUUUUACCAUAUUUAUAUUAUUGGUGCUUUUUUUAUUCAUUGUAAAAUAUAGAAUCCUAGAUUUUAACCAUUGCAAUGAACAAGAGCAAGGUUUUACUACUAUAUUUAUAAUGUUGCUUUUGUCUGUAUUUUUUUAUGGAAAUGGUCUGAUAUUUCCUACAAUUUAACUAUUGCAAUAAAUAAGAUUGAAGCCUUGAUGUACAUACAUAUAGUUAAGUAUAUGGUGAAAGUGUCUCACAAAUUAGUUCUUUCACUAUUAAAAAAAUAAUUACGAUCAGAUUUUAUUAGUUUAUCUAAUAGUAAUAGUAAAAUGAUUAAUUUAUUCCAAACCUUAUAAUAAAGUUUGUGUAACUAAAACACAAUCACACAUUGUGUGAUCCUAAUAAAGGAUUGCUUUUUUAGAGGAAAUACCACUUCUUUUGGUUUAGUGUUAAAUUCAUCUAUAUAUGAUGAUUUAUUAUUGUAUUUUUUUUUAUCGUAGGAGGAUAAUGAGUUUCAACGCAUUUAAACUCACGUCUUCUUACAUUGAUAAUAAUAACCAUAUCAAUUGAACUAAGAUUAAAUCGAUCAAAUUAUAGUAAUUUUAUAACACUAUGAAGGGCAUUAAAACGUUGAAUUACAAUAAUAAUAUCUAUUUAUCGGAGAUCCUUUUUCUUUCCGUAAUUACAAAUCUCUCUUACUUAAUAUAUUUUUAAUAGCAAUUUGAAUACCAAUUAUUAUUUUUUCCUAAUUUAAUUAAACAUAAUAUCAUAUAUAAUAAUAUUUGCAUAUCUAUUAUUGGUAUCUAAAAUUCUAUAGUCUAGGAUGAUACUAAUAAUUUAUUCCUAUUAUUAAAUAACGGAUGAAAUGUUAUUUUAUUUUAUUUUAGAGGGAUAUUAAAAAAUACAUAUAAACUCUUUUGAUCCAUUCACGCAAUUCAAUGGACUUCAAUCUCAUUUUAUAAUAUUACAAUUCUUUUACAAAAUAAAUUAAUUCGUUGGAUUUUUUUUAUAUAAAAUAAAUACUUACUCAACUUUACAUGAAUAAUUUACAGUAUAAAAUAUAAAAAUUAUAUUUUUAAAAUAUAGAUCAUGAAAAUAAUUAUAAAAUUAUGUUAAUUUUACACUGAUGUAAGUCCAUUUCCUUCGGUAAUGAUAAGAUCUUUGUUGAAGGGAUAUUCUUAAGUAAAUAGAUAAUUAAUGUUUUUUAAAUCAUAUUGGUGAUCAAAUCGAUCAAAUUAUUAGCUCACCAAUUCAAUUAAAAAUUUAUUAAAUUUUAAAAAAAAAAUUUUAAAAAAGUAAAAAAAAUUCAAAAAUCGUGAUUCAAACGAUUUUUUACUUAAUUCAACUAAUCCGUACUAAUUCCUAAAUCAAUUAAUUCAAAAUCUCAUUUCGAACCAAUACCUUCACCGAUUUAUAAUCCAACCAAUCCAAUUUGGUUGAAAUCACAUUGUAAACAACAUAAGUUGAUAAAAGAUGAAAAGGAAAAUUUUAUUUUUUAAAAAGAAAGUAAACUUCAAAAGAUAAUAGUUUUUUUUAGGAAAAGUUGGUGAUGGACACACGUGGUCGGCUAAAUUGAAAAAGCAGCUGAGAAAUUUAAAAUAGAAAAUGUAAAGAAAAGUUUCCCAUUGGCGUAUUAAAGAAUGAUUGCCGACAGAAGUUUGAAGAUCCAAGGCUGCCCCAAAACUUCUUCUGCUUUUCUCGGCACUGACAAAAUGAAAUCCAAUGGUUGUUAGGAGCACAGUAGUCCCAUCAUGGCCGUUGAAUGGCAAGAUAAAGGUUAGGCUACAUCAAGGGCCAGCUUUUAAAUGUUAAAUGCCACAUGAUCCCCUAAUAUUUAUUUAUACAAAAAUAAUAUAAAAAUAUAUUAUCAAAUGAAUUGACUCAUCAAUCAACCUUUAAUUAUUCUUGUUUUCAGUGGCAUCACCACAUUUCUUAUUUUCCUCAAAUUUAAUUUUUAUAUUUUUAUUUUUAAUAAAAAUUGUCUUUCUAUUUUUAAAAUUUUAAAUUUCAGAUUUAAUUGCUAAUGCUAUUAAAAUUAUUUUAUUAAAUUUAGGUUCAUUAUAAAUUUAUUUUUCUUAGAUUAUAGAAUUGUUAAGUGAGUAUUUUUUAUUUCAAAAUGUUACACCAAUAAAUUUAACAAAAAAAAACUUUAACAAUGUUAACAAUUAGAUAUUAAUUUCUAUUUAUAAAAAAUAUAGUGAAUAAAUUUCAAAAAUAGAAUAAUUAAAUUCCAAAUUUAUUAAAAGUAUAAAAACUUAUGACAUAUUUUAACCUAAUACCCAACAUACAAAACUCAUAACCAUAAAUAUACUUUUAUUUUUGUGCAUGUUCGGAAUUUAAAUUUAAGGGUAAUGUAUUUGUACUUAAUAAUUCUAUAGUAUUAUGAGUGCUUAGGAUUUCUUUGUAUCUCUUUGGUGGGAUUAAAAUAAGAGGUCAUCAAGUCGUUUAUCAAGUAAGCCUCAUUUCCCAACCGUCAACUGUAUACCCAUCUUCGUCAUUUUGGAUAUUUUGGAGACUGAGAUCUUGUUUCCUUCGACAAAUUUUCAUUAACAAAUUCCAAUGAUCGAAAGGACUAUUCUAUUGCCUCUUCAUCCACUCUUAUAUAUGACGCGUCACAAAUUACAGAUGCAAUGAUAUUCUCUUUAGCGUUUAUCGUUACCAAUUGACCAUUUGUUACCAACUUCAAUUUUUAGUGUAGUGACGACGGCACUGCUCCAGCCGAAUGAAUCCAAGGCCUACCCAACAAGCAAUUAUAAGAGGGUUUAAUAUCUAUCACAAAAAAAAGCUACCUCAUAUAUGUUCGGACCAAUUAAGAGAGGUAUUUCAAUUCUUCCCAUCACCCUCCUUUCUGUACCAUCGAAUGCUCUCACUAUAUUUUGACACGUCUUCAUAUGAGAGCUAUCUAUUGACAACCUAUUCAGUGUGGAUAGAGGCAAAAUGUUCAGUGCAGAUCCAUUGUCGAUUAACACCCUUGGCAAUGUAUAUCCUUUGUAGCGAGUAGUGAUGUAUAGAGCCUUCGUGGAUCCUAUGCCCCCUGGAGGUAUUUCAUCGUCAUUGAAAAAGAUGAAAUUUUCGACACAUAGAUUGUUAACCAGACGAUCUAGCUUGUUUACAAAGAUAUCAUCAACGACAUAAGUUUCAUUUAACACCUUCAUCAAUGCGCUACGAUGUGUCUUUGAGCUCAAAAGCAAGGCUAGUACUGAUAUGCGAGUUAGUUGCUUGUGUAGCUGCUCUACAACACUAUACUCACUAUGCUUCAAGAAUUUCAAAAAUUCAUUAGCCUCAUUCUCAGUUACUGGCUCAUUAACAGGUGAUUCAAGUCUAGCCGUCUUUUCUUUCUUAUGUUUAUCUGCCAAGGUUUUUCCUUUAAUUGGCUCGGUUCUUACACUUGCAGGGUCAUAGCGCCUCCCAUUGUGCGCCUCCCAUUUUGCUAUCAUUGUAGGGAAAAGCCACGGGUGUUCUAAUGAGAAAUAGCAUAAAUAAACCUUCCUAUUACAAUAUUCAUGAAAUGUAGCAGUCUAUAAGCGUAUAUGAGGAAUAAAAAUAGCGUACAAGUGUUCAUAUUUAUAUGAAAGGAAAGAGUAAAAUAUAUAGCGUCAAAAGCAUCAAUGCAGGUACAUGAAAGAAAUGUUAAAGAUGGGAGCAAAUUGGCAGAAACUCAGUCUGCUGAUUUCUACUCCAAAGAGAUGGGGAAGUUAAUGAUUAAUGGUUCCCUUUUUUAAGAGCACUGAUCAUUGUCUAAUUACUACAAGGUCUAAGAUAUGCUUGCUGCAAAGAAAAAAGUACUAGAAAUAGGUACCAAAUGCUUUUUCAAGGACAAACAAUCAUUUAUUUUAUAAGCCCUGACCUGUGUCAAUCAAGAAAUAUGUGACAUAUUUCAAAAUCAAGAAAAUGAAUUUACAGAAUUCUAUUACAUUGCUAUCCAAUUAGUAUUGCGUCCAACGCAUAUACAUAUGCGCACUCAAACAAUCACACAUAUACAUCUUCCUUUCCCACUUGCACAAAGGACUUUGCAACAUGGUUAGUGGAUUCAAACAUUUUCCUCCCAUAUAACUAUCCAGACCUCAUGGAUGUCCAUGUACAACAACCUAAUCAAAAGAAACAGAUCAAAGACAAAGACAUGGAUACAUCCUUAUUUCCUGACAACCUAAACAGUCUUGGAAAAAAUUCUUGCUAAGAGCGUCUCAAAUAAUUUUCUUUCUUUAGAAUCACCCAAAUAAUCCCCAUAUAUUUUCAAAAAAUCUGCUGUAUGACUGUUCAACAGUGAACCCAUCUCCAAACACACUUACUUUUAACUAGGAAUAAUCUUCACUACUGGAGUUACUGAAAAGGUACAUCUACAGAGCAUUUCUCCAGGCCCCAUUGAUGGGAUCCACAAAACAACGCCUAGAUCUUAUCUAAUACUCCCACUUCUGGAGGGACCCAUAUAUCCACACAAGUAAUGUGAACAUUCAUAACUCAGAUUAUCCAAAAGGAAGAAAAAAGAGAAAAAUCGAUUAUGUUUUCAAGGUUAAAAAAAAUAUAAAAUCGAUCCAUUACUGAUCUUUUAUGAUAAAAACAACUUGGUUAACCUUAUAAAAAAAAUGAGCUGAUUGGAUAAGUCAACUAAACUAAUCCAAAAAAGAGACCCAAAAAACAAAAAUAUAAAAAAGAGGUCAGCAAUGAUCCUGAUCUAGCAUAAGAAUUUAUACCUUGCCGAAGAAGUUUCCACCUCCAUCAUGAAGCCUAUCAACUUCAUAGGUCGUAGCAUGUAAAGUCCCAUGGAGCAAAGUUUCCUCCAUUUCUCAACUAAAAGAAAGAGAAAAGAAAGUUAAUUCAACUAAGACAGAGAGAUAUUAACAUAAGAUGAACUCCAAAAGAAGAGUGGGAAACAGAGAAGAUAAGUUCUUUUUUUUUAAAAAAAAAAAAAAAAGCUUGCGAAGCAGAGAAAUGAGCAAAGAAAAAAGGUAGAUUCAAAAAAAUAUACCCAAGGUUAAAUAAGAAGAGAUCUUGAUCUAAGGAUAUCAAGGCAGAAGUGAGAGUGAGUUGUCCUUGAUUUUCUCUUUAUGUAAGGGAUUUAUAUACGCAAAAUACGCGUAUCUAGUUUUGUAAUAAUGGAUAUAUAAAUUAUGGCUGCAACGUGGUGGCCGUGGGCGGACUAAAAGGAAAAUUACUGACGGGAAAGAGACCCGGAAAAUCAGCCCCUUAAAUAGUUCCGCGUGGAGCCGAGUGGAUCAGGGACUACGAAAGAUUUUUUUUUAUAGGGACUGAAUUACAUAAAAUCCCGAUUUUUUCAAUUCAAUUUCAACUUUUU
rnacentral:lncRNA from 1 species